rnacentral:rRNA from 1 species
GACGAACGCUGGCGGCGUGCCUAAUACAUGCAAGUAGAACGCUGAAGGAGGAGCUUGCUUCUCUGGAUGAGUUGCGAACGGGUGAGUAACGCGUAGGUAACCUGCCUGGUAGCGGGGGAUAACUAUUGGAAACGAUAGCUAAUACCGCAUAAUAUUGAUUAUUGCAUGAUAGUCAAUUAAAAGGUGCAAUUGCAUCACUACCAGAUGGACCUGCGUUGUAUUAGCUAGUUGGUGAGGUAACGGCUCACCAAGGCAACGAUACAUAGCCGACCUGAGAGGGUGAUCGGCCACACUGGGACUGAGACACGGCCCAGACUCCUACGGGAGGCAGCAGUAGGGAAUCUUCGGCAAUGGACGGAAGUCUGACCGAGCAACGCCGCGUGAGUGAAGAAGGUUUUCGGAUCGUAAAGCUCUGUUGUAAGAGAAGAACGAGUGUGAGAGUGGAAAGUUCAC